UCCGUAGGUGAACCUGCGGAAGGAUCAUUACAGUAUUCUUUCUAAGCUGAAGUAGUUUACUGGGAGCUUUUUCUGCCUGCGCUGCUGAAAUAUUGCGUGCGCGGUGGUAAAGCACUUUGGUAGCUGUUUCAUUACAAAGCUUAGAAAACCCCUUACACACUUUGUUUUCUUAUUAGAGACAAAUUUGCUUUGGUCAGUUGCCGUGUAAAAGCGGUGAUUUUGGCCAGAGGUUAAACAAAACACUAAUAUUUUUAGUUUUUCCCCCGGGAAAGAUUAAGAACUUUAUUUUAAACUUUAGUCAGAAUUUAAGAAGUUUGUCUUACGACAGCUUUUCUAAACUUCAAAACUUUCAACAACGGAUCUCUUGGUUCUCGCAUCGAUGAAGAACGCAGCGAAAUGCGAUAAGUAAUGUGAAUUGCAGAUUUUCGUGAAUCAUUGAAUCUUUGAACGCACAUUGCGCCCUCUGGUAUUCCAGAGGGCAUGCCUGUUUGAGCGUCAUUUCCUUCUCAAACCCUAGGGUUUGGUGAUGGGCAGUACUCUGGCUUGUUCAGAGUUUGCCUGAAAAGGAUUGGCAUGAGUUUUUGAUAUGAACUGCAGCUGUUUAUUCAAUGUAUUAGGUUUAGUCCAUCGUUGAUUGACGACUGUUAAUUUAUUUCAAAACUUGGCUCUGCCUAACAAAUUUUAUCAUAAAGUUGACCUCAAAUCCGGUAGAUGUAA
rnacentral:rRNA from 1 species